GAAUUUUCCGCAAUGGGCGAAAGCCUGACGGAGCAAUACCGCGUGAGGGAUGACGGCCUAUGGGUUGUAAACCUCUUUUUUCAGGGAGGAAUCAAUGACGUGUACCUGAAGAAUAAGCAUCGGCUAACUCCGUGCCAGCAGCCGCGGUAAGACGGAGGAUGCAAGUGUUAUCCGGAAUCACUGGGCGUAAAGCGUCUGUAGGUGGUUUAAUAAGUCAACUGUUAAAUCUUGAAGCUCAACUUCAAAAUCGCAGUCGAAACUAUUAGACUAGAGUAUAGUAGGGGUAAAGGGAAUUUCCAGUGGAGCGGUGAAAUGCGUAGAGAUUGGAAAGAACACCGAUGGCGAAGGCACUUUACUGGGCUAUUACUGACACUCAGAGACGAAAGCUAGGGUAGCAAAUGGGAUUAGAUACCCCAGUAGUC
rnacentral:rRNA from 1 species